AUUGAACGCUGGCGGCAGGCUUAACACAUGCAAGUCGAGCGGAUGACGGGAGCUUGCUCCUUGAUUCAGCGGCGGACGGGUGAGUAAUGCCUAGGAAUCUGCCUGGUAGUGGGGGACAACGUUUCGAAAGGAACGCUAAUACCGCAUACGUCCUACGGGAGAAAGCAGGGGACCUUCGGGCCUUGCGCUAUCAGAUGAGCCUAGGUCGGAUUAGCUUGUUGGUGAGGUAAUGGCUCACCAAGGCGACGAUCCGUAACUGGUCUGAGAGGAUGGUCAGUCACACUGGAAGUGAGACACGGGCAAGACUCCAACGGGAGGCAGCAGUGGGGAAUAUUGGACAAUGGGCGAAGGCCUGAUCCAGCCAUGCCGCGUGGGUGAAGAAGGUCUUCGGAUUGUAAAGCACUUUAAGUUGGGAGGAAGGGUUGUAGAUUAAUACUCUGCAAUUUUGACGUUACCGACAGAAUAAGCACCGGCUAACUCUGUGCCAGCAGCCGCCGUAA
rnacentral:rRNA from 1 species